UGUGAGGUGUGCUUCCUUGGAGUUCAUCUCCAUGCCCCAGACUUCAAAGCUUCCUACCCACCAUCCAGAAAUCUUCCUCCAGGGAGCUCCUCCAGCUGAGGGGACUUUGGCUUCUCAUGACCAUCAUUUUAUCUGCCCUUGAAGUGGCCAGAAGUGCCCAGAAGUUAAUGCUGCCCUCCCCUCCCCUCCCCCAAUAGAGAUGCAAACAUAGCUCUCAACCCAUGUCUGAUGGAAUUGGUGAAUAAAUACCCCCAACUUCCUCCCCACCGGGUACAGUGACUCUGAGGUGUGAAUGUUCUACAUCAUUUCCCAGAAUUUCCCCAGGGGAUCCAGCUCAAGUUUCCUAUGGGUCUAACUCACUUGGUACUGCUGCUGCUGCUGCUAAAUCGCUUCAGUCAUGUCCGACUCUGUGCGACCCCAUAGAGGGCAGCCCAUCAGGCUCCUCCGUCCAUGGGAUUCUCUGGGCAAAAACACUGGAGUGGGUUGCCAUUUCCUUCUCCAACGCAUAAAAGUGAAAAUUGAAAGUGAAGGCGUUCAGUCGCGUCCGACUCUUGGUGACCCCAUGGACUACAGCCCACCAGGCUCCUCCGUCCAUGGGAUUUUCCAGGCAAGAGCAGUGGAGUGGGGUGCCACUGCCUUCUUUGCACUUGGUACUAGGCCUGCCUUUUAUUGACUACCUUCCUCACCACCCUUCCCCUACUUCAUUCAAUUCCUGGAUGAACUACUUGUACUGGAGUCCUGCUCAAGGUUGACUUCUGGGAGAACUAAGACAAUGGGGGGACGAGAAGAAGCAGGGUUUUCAUGGAGCUAUUGCAUGAUUGAGCAAUGCUAAGCAUAUGGAGAACCUGGCCCAGAAUGAGCACUUGAAUAAGUGAUAAAUAAUAUCAACAAGAUUCUUAAAAUUUAUCUGAGAGAGAGGCACUUUUAAGUAACAGCAAGGUUCUUAUUGGCCAAGUGGUUUAGA
ensembl:lncRNA